rnacentral:rRNA from 1 species
UACGUAGGCAGCAAGCGUUGUUCGGAAUUCCUGGGCGUAAAGAGUGUGUAGGCGGUUCUCUAAGUUUGGUGUGAAAUCUCCCGGCUCAACUGGGAGGGUGCGCCGAAAACUGGAAUGCUUGAACGUGGGAGAGGAAAGCGGAAUUCCUGGUGUAGCGGUGAAAUGCGUAGAUAUCAGGAGGAACACCUGCGGUGUAGACGGCUUUCUGGACCAUUGUUGACGCUGAGACACGAAAGCGUGGGUAGCAAACAGG